GACGUAGGAGGCGAGCGUUAUCCGGAUUCACUGGGCGUAAAGCGCAAGUAGGCGGUUGUGAAAGUCCGUUGUUAAAGCCCUGGCUCAACUGGGGAGGUCAAUGGACGACUUAUGACUUGAGGGCAACAGAGGCAGUGUGGAACUCCGGUGUAGCGGUGGAAUGCGUAGAGAUCGGGAAGAACACCCGUGGCGAAGGCGGGCUCUCUAGUACCGGUACGUGACGCUGAGUACGACGAAAGCGGUGGGGAGCGAA
rnacentral:rRNA from 1 species